rnacentral:rRNA from 1 species
CAGGUGGUGCAUGGUUGUCGUCAGCUCGUGUCGUGAGAUGUUGGUUAAGUCCCGCAACGAGCGCAACCCUCGACCUUAGUUGCCAGCAUUCAGUUGAGCACUCUAAGGUGACUGCCGGCUAAAAGUCGGAGGAAGGUGGGGAUGACGUCAAAUCAUCAUGCCCCUUAUGACCUGGGCUACACACGUGCUACAAUGGGCGGUACAAAGGGUCGCGAACCCGCGAGGGGGAGCCAAUCCCAAAAAGCCGCUCUCAGUUCGGAUUGCAGGCUGCAACUCGCCUGCAUGAAGCCGGAAUCGCUAGUAAUCGCGGAUCAGCAUGCCGCGGUGAAUACGUUCCCGGGCCUU